rnacentral:rRNA from 1 species
AUGCGACAAUUUUUUUGCACAAUACUCAUUUUUUGUGAGGUCACAGAUCCAGGGAAACUAUGGGAAUCUACAUGGGAAUUACUCUCAGAUGACAUUCAGCGACGUCAGAGGAAAAUCUUGAACUUCGAUGAACUUCAUCUUAAUCCUGAACAAAUACAAAAUCUCACACUUAUAGAAAUAGAGAUGUUGCUAAGGAGAGGUGGAAAGUCAUUAAAGGAUUAUGAAGGAAUUCCAUUACCAGAUAGCAACUCACUACAAGGUCUGCAAAAUAGGUUGGUAAGUGAAGAGCUUAACUAUGACAGAGAUUCUCUACAAAUAGAGAAAGUGGAACUACUUGCAAAGUUAAAUCCAAAACAGAAACAAGCUUUCGAUGCAAUAGUUCAAUCUGUAAAUAGCAGACUAGGCAAAUUGAUAUUUGUCAAUGGAUAUGGUGGAACAGGAAAAACAUUUCUUUGGAAGGCAAUCACGACAUCACUACGAUCUCAAGGAAAAAUAGUUUUAGCUGUAGCAUCCAGUGCAAUAGCAGCACUUCUUAUACCCGGGGGAAGAACUGCACAUUCAAGAUUUCACAUCCCAUUAAACAUCACUAAUGAGUCCACAUGUGACAUCAAGCAAGGAUCCUAUCUUGCAGACCUGCUAAAGAAAACAUCCUUAAUUAUAUGGGAUGAAGCACCUAUGGCGAACAAACAUUGCUUUGAAGCAUUUGACAAGAGCUUGAGAGACAUCCUAAGGUUCACAAAUGAAAGUAGUGCAGAUAAACCAUUUGGUGGGAUGACGGUAGUGAUGGGAGGUGACUUCAGACGAAUUCUUCCAGUAAUACCGAAAGGGCGAAGAUCUCACAUUGUAGAUGCAUCCUUAAAACGUUCCUACUUAUGGAACCACUUUGAGGAAUUCAAGCUCACUGAGAAC